rnacentral:rRNA from 1 species
CUAACUCUGUGCCAGCAGCCGCGGUAAGACAGAGGGUGCAAACGUUGUUCGGAAUUACUGGGCGUAAAGCGUGUGGUAGGUCGGCUAAGUAAGUCAGAUGUGAAAGCCCCGGGCUCAACCCGGGAAGUGCAUUUGAUACUGCCUAGCUUGAGUAUCGGAGAGGUUGGUGGAAUUCUUGGUGUAGAGGUGAAAUUCGUAGAUAUCAAGAGGAACACCGGUGGCGAAGGCGGCCAACUGGACGAAUACUGACGCUGAGACACGAAAGCGUGGGGAGCAAACAGGAUUAGAUACCCCUGGUAGUCCGACGCCGUAAACGAUGGGUGCUAGGGUGUCGCGGGGCUUUUGACUCCUGCGGUGCCGUAGCUAACGCAUUAAGCACCCCGCCUGGGAAGUACGGCCGCAAGGCUAAAACU